rnacentral:rRNA from 1 species
GUCUAUAGCCAUGCUACCCUGAUCCCGUCUGAUUCUGGAAGCAAAGCAGGGUUGGGCCUGGUUAGGACUUGGAUGGGAGACCACCUAGGAAGACCAGGUGCCGCAGGUG